rnacentral:rRNA from 1 species
ACUNCUUAGAGGGACAAGUGGCGUUUAGCCACGCGAGAUUGAGCAAUAACAGGUCUGUGAUGCCCUUAGAUGUUCGGGGCGCACGCGCGCUACACUGAAGGGAUCAGCGGGUGAUUGUCCUUGUCUGGAAGGCCUGGGCAAUCCGCUGAACCCCCUUCGUGCUUGGGAUAGGGAGUUGCAAUUGUCUCCCUUAAACGAGGAAUUCCCAGUAAGCGCGAGUCAUCAGCUCGCGUUGAU